CUGGCUAUUCAGUAUUCUCAUGUGCUAAUUCAAUAUACGAGUUUAUAAAAUAAAAGGCAUCAAGACACUAGAUUGAACUAUACCAUCAAUUUUUUCUAAUGUAUUUAACCUCUAUAAGAUUUUUUUUUGGAUCAUUUGGAUCCCUCUAUGCCGUUUAACGAACGAUAUGUCUGUAUGGCAAUUAUGCAUGUCUUUUGAAGUUUGAUAGCGGGUGCAAAAUGCAAAACGGUCGUUAGUAGAAUAUAUCAGCUCCUUUUCCUCUACUUUCCUCUCUCUCCUGUAUUGAAUUUUUUUCUGCAUCACAGAUUGACUCGGGGUAAAAAGACUAAUAUAAAUAUCUUCUUUUGUCAAAGGAGCUGCAGUGUUUAACCCAAAUUAUUCUACAAGCUGGAAGUAUCCUCUGAUUACUCAGGAUCUUUCCUUCAAAUAUUUUCGUAUCCUCUGUUCAUACCAGUGAUCAGUCAAUUACUCUAUGCAGGGCAUACUUGCAUUUGAUAUAGCAGAGAACUGAUGAUUUCCUGGCACAAUAAUAUAUGAUGAUAUUCUAUCGUUAUUGGCGUUUUCUCAGAGCAUCAUCUGCAGCUGUCAUGUCUGUCUUGAGGAGAUGAUUCCAGUAAGGAAAGUACAAAUUGGAGGAGCAUCAGGUUUGUAAGUCUUUCUAGAUUGAUGGGAGCAUCUUAUAUGGUUGACACCUUCAAGUCACGCUUAAAGUGGAGCCUAGAAUGCCUGGCCAUCUUGUGUCCUACGGAUGAUUGAGCACCAUGAGCAUAUGCAAGUUUGGUGCGGGAUUUUUUUACUUUGAGACUGACAGUUUACCACCAUAUUUCCUGAAGGUGUGUUCAAUUUUUCAGUUAUUUUUCUACCUUCUUAUUUAUGCACCUAAUUUGUUACAGAGUUAAACUGUGAUUCAUACAUAAUCAUUGAAUAUUUCUGUGCAAGGACUUGCAGUAUUUUGCAACAAUUAAACAUGUGAUUCCUUACAGCAGAAGCCUGCACCCACUAAAACUGCAACUUGUUGAA